GUGGUUAUGGGCUAGCAGUUGAUAUAUGGAGCUUAGGGUGUACAGUUUUGGAGAUGUUGACAAGGCAGCCUCCUUAUUCUGAGUUGGAAGGAGUGCUGCCUCCUAUAGCACAAAAGCACGUGAUUCAACUCAUACUUUCUCACG